CCUACGGGAGGCCGCAUCUACCAGAUAGACACCUGGAGGCAGGCCAAGGCCCCGAUCGUCAAGAACUCCAGCAACCUGAACAUGGGAGUCUACCAGGUCACCGCGGUAAUCGCGUAGGCCGGUCAAACCAUUUUCCUCUUUCUUUUUUUCGAGGACAUAGAAAAGGAGGGAUUAUCACGGACACCACAACCAAGAUACUCAUAGGGGCGGCCGGAGUGGCCGUCGCAUCGUACGCCGGGACGCAGCUGAUGCUGAGGUUCCCCGGCGCUAGGGCAUGGCUGGAGAAGAGGCUCAUCGAGGCGUACGCAUACCUCGACAAGCACAAGGACGAGAUACCCCAGUAGUC
rnacentral:rRNA from 1 species